rnacentral:rRNA from 1 species
CGCCUCUUGAAUAUUUAUAAGAGGUCCAGCCUGCCCAGUGACCAUGUUCAACGGCCGCGGUAUCCUAACCGUGCGAAGGUAGCGUAAUCACUUGUUCUUUAAAUGUGGACUAGUAUGAAUGGCACCACGAAGAUUAUACUGUCUCCUUUUUCUAAUCAGUGAAACUAAUCUCCCCGUGAAGAAGCGGGAAUAAAGUUAUAAGACGAGAAGACCCUAUGGAGCUUAAAACAAUAUAGCACUUGCCACAUAGUAUAAAAAUUUCCGAAAUUUUAAUUUAUAUUGACAAUUUGACUAUAAGUUUUUGGUUGGGGUGACCGCGGAGAAUAGCACAACCUCCAUGAUGAAUGAACUGUUUCUAAACUAAGACCUACCGGUCUAAGUAUCAACAUAUUGACAUCCAUUGAUCCAAUAUAAUUGAACAACGAACCAAGUUACCCUAGGGAUAACAGCGCAAUCUACUUCAAGAGCUCCUAUCGACAAGUAGGUUUACGACCUCGAUGUUGGAUCAGGGUAUCCCAGUGGUGCAGCCGCUACUAAAGGUUCGUUUGUUCAACGAUUAAAACCCU